UUUCAUCGAACUUGACCUCAAAUCA
rnacentral:rRNA from 1 species